GUGAAAAAUUUUAACGGCCGCGGUAUCCUAGCCGUGCGAAGGUAGCGUAAUCACUUGUUCUUUAAAUCAGGGCUAGUAUGAAUGCCACCACGAAGGUUAUGCUGUCUCCCCUUUUUAAUCAGUGAAACUAAUCCCCCCGUGAAGAAGCGGGGAUAAAUCUAUAAGACGAGAAGACCCUAUGGAGCUUUAGAAUACAUAACAAUUGCUAUCUAUUUAUUUACGGGAACUCAGAUUAUAUUCAUAUUGAUUACUAGUCUUAGGUUGGGGUGACCGCGGAGUAAAAUACACCCUCCAUGAUGAAAGAAUUUCUUAACCCAGAGUUACAACUCUAAGUACCAAAAAUUUGACAUAAAUUGACCCAAUAAUUUGAUCAACGAACCAAGUUACCCUAGGGAUAACAGCGCGAUCUACUUCAAGAGUCCCUAUCGACAAGUAGGUUUACGACCUCGAUGUUGGAUCAGGG
rnacentral:rRNA from 1 species